rnacentral:rRNA from 1 species
GUGUCAGCAGCCGCGGUAAAACGUAGGGGGCGAGCGUUAUCCGGAAUCACUGGGCGUAAAGGGCGUCUAGGCGGUCCAGUAAGUCCUGCGUGAAAGCUCCCGGCUCAACUGGGAGAGCGCGUGGGAGACUGUUGGGCUAGAGACUCGGAGAGGGGUGUGGAAUUCCCGGUGGAGUGGUGAAAUGCGUUGAGAUCGGGAGGAACACCAGUGGCGAAGGCGGCACCCUGGCCGAGUUCUGACGCUGAAGCGCGACAGCGUGGGGAGCAAACGGGAUUAGAUACCCCCGUAGUCC